UAUGUUAGAAACUCAGAAACUUUUUUUUAAAUAUAUCCUACUUCAGAGCAUAAGAAUUGAAAACAUCCAGAGCACAGUGGCUGCUAAUCCUAGGCGGCGGCGGCAGGUUUGAGGUUUGUUUGACUUUUCUGUCUUCUACAACGCCCUCUCAUAUAUUUAUAACCCAGUGUCUUCACACGAUGUGUCCUGCGUUCUGCUGCUCGACUAAAUGUAGAAAAAGCCCAGUGUCAUGAAGACGCUGUGUGGGUGGUUGGAUCAUUUUUAAACAACAGCCUUGAGACAUUCCGCAGAAAAUGGAAAACAUUUGAAACAAACAAGAGGUCCACACCCGCUGUACAGAGCGGCAGCACAGAGAGAAGCUCACUCCCAGGAUUGUGAAAUGUGUGUCUGUGUGUCUUUGUGAAAUCUUAUUGUUUCUCUCAUUAUCUAUUUCACAAAACGACUUCUCACCGGUUUGUCAAACCUUUUCUAAUCAGUAAUAGACUGGAAGAAUCACAGGCCAACACGAGACACGUCGUUUCUUUUUUAAGGAUGUAAACAACACUGUUUGGAACUCGUGACUUGCGUCUGGAUCCGAUUUAACAAGAGGAAGUGUUUGGUUGUUUCUUUCAUGUUGUUUCUAUUAUAAUCCUUGGUUGGACUCGUUUCUCAGUGUCUGAAUGAACGUCUACUGUGUCUGGCUGGACUUCUUUCUCCAGAACUUUAGGUUAGUUUCCCUCAGUCUCAAACGAAUUCCUACUGUUAUCAACCGUCGAUGAUGACCUUUUUUUUUUAUUGUUUAUUUUUUCCAUGGCAUUUUGUUAUUGAUCUGCUAAAAAUGGCCCCAUCUUUAAGUAAAAACAUAUAAUACCAAAUAGGUGGAAAUGUGUUGUUUAAUUGGAUGAAAUUUGGGCUGUGAAAAAAAACCCCAAAAAUAAUACAAUAACACAAUACAAUAGUCACAAUAAAUUGUACCGUUGCCGCCGUAUCGUGAAUACGUAUCAUAUUUCCAGAUUUUUGUCAACACACAUUCCUACUUCUCAUCCAAUUGUGGUGACAUUUACACACACUGUGGGGAAAAAAAGAGUUUCUGUUUCACCAAAACAUGUUAGUUUCACAAUCUCUACUUCUAUCUUCUUUAUCUGUCUAGAUGACUUCCUGUCCUCCGUGUGAAGAUCUCCCAAUUUUUUGGCCAAUGAGCAUCUUGGAAAUUCUAUGUUGGCACAAAUAAAUAUUCCACGUCUUAGCCUUAGUUUGCUGAAGAGAGCAGGGAAAAGAGAGAAUUCCAAAUUGUGGGAGUAAUUCCGCUCGUAAGGGUGGACGACAUGCAUCAUGUAAAACAUCUGGUCCGCCCACGUUCAACAUGUUUAACAUCCCAUCAACAUGACGAGCUGUUGGUUCAGUUUCAGAACAGACCAUUGAACAUAACUUCCACACCACAAAAUCUGUCCAGACCAUCAUCAACAUCCAUCAAGUUCUAGUCCCGGUCCUGUGGGACACUCUUAUUAUAUGCAUUCUAAUAUCUGUAAUAAAAUAAGUGUUUCAUUUGCAGAAAUAAUAGAAAAUGUACAGAAUCCACGUGAUGUCGAUCCAUGAAAACUCACUAACUUUAAUUCAUGAUUGUCAUACUUCCUCUGUUCUCUUGCAGUAAUAGAGUUAUUCUCCUUUUCUCACCUGGAACAAAUCCAGUGAGUCCUUCUUGUGGAAACCUAACUUUUGGCUAGGGUUGCACAUUCCCUGGAGCACUCUGGCGCCGCCCGCAGGGAAGGUGGACCUCAUAACUUUGUGAACGACUACUAUGUUUAUUGUCAUUUCCUGGAUCCUGGAGGAACAGAGUGAACUUCGAAACACAGAAGCCCAUUGUUAACACCAGAAUGAAUGGUGGAGCUGCAGAGGCCGGAGGUGAGGCGGAGCACAGCACAGCACAGCACAGCACAGCACAGCACAGCUGCUGAAGAGCUGUGGCGAUGAAGUCUCAAAGUGCAGCAGAGAAGAGAGCCGUUGUCCUGCGCGUCUGCGUGAAAUUUGAAAAAAAAAAUUUCAAAAGUGAAAGAGAAGACGUGCGCAGUGCGCGCCUGGCUGACAGAGCUGCAGAGUUUUGACUGAAUCUUUUCUGAUGAAGAGGAGAAUGAAGAAAGACAAACCGCCACAGAGUUCUGCUCCAUCCAAAAAGGGAAGUUGUGUUCAUUUCUACAAAGCAUUAAGAGCACGAGGACAUGAAGGCGAAAUGAGGGGAAAAGAGAAAUGAUCAUUUAAAGCCGACGCAGCCUGGACAAAGUCCUGGACCAAUUCCCUGGUCAACAGCUGGUGAAGGAACCUCCGCAGCACGGCCGGGCCUGUUGCCACCACGGAAACGUGUCCAGGAUUCAACCUGAGGCCGUGACGUCAUCGUCAGGUGAUUUAGACUCUGCCUGACGACAGGAAGUGAUGAAAGGGCGGCUCCUCUGUUGACGACUUCCUGUAGAUGAGAGCAGAGUCGGAGAGAUGCAGGAGAGGCUGCUCUGAAAACUGUCCAACCAGAGUCGUCCCCUGAUCGUCCCCUGAUCGUCAGUUCUGUUUUGGAAGAAAACGUUUCCAAAGGUCUUUGUCACGGACCAGACCAUCAGCACUGACCUGGAUUCAACCCUGACAACUGCAGGUUCUUUUAUCGUCUGCCCGGUGAACGUAGACCUCCCUCGUGCGUCAGUCUUUUCUCAGCCUGCGGCCUCGACUGGGAAUACGCCCAGGCAUGUCUGACUUUAUCUAAACACACACUCUCAGCAACACACCC